rnacentral:piRNA from 1 species
UAACCCAGUGGACACAGGAGCCAGAAC